rnacentral:rRNA from 1 species
UACGGAGGGAGCUAGCGUUGUUCGGAAUUACUGGGCGUAAAGCGCACGUAGGCGGCUAUUCAAGUCGGGGGUGAAAGCCCGGGGCUCAACCCCGGAACUGCCCUCGAAACUAGGUAGCUAGAAUCUUGGAGAGGCGAGUGGAAUUCCGAGUGUAGAGGUGAAAUUCGUAGAUAUUCGGAAGAACACCAGUGGCGAAGGCGACUCGCUGGACAAGUAUUGGCGCUGAGGUGCGAAAGCGUGGGGAGCAAACAGG